rnacentral:rRNA from 1 species
GACGAACGCUGGCGGCGUGCUUAACACAUGCAAGUCGAACGGAAAGGCCCUGCUUUUGUGGGGUGCUCGAGUGGCGAACGGGUGAGUAACACGUGAGUAACCUGCCCUUGACUUUGGGAUAACUUCAGGAAACUGGGGCUAAUACCGGAUAGGAGCUCCUGCUGCAUGGUGGGGGUUGGAAAGUUUCGGCGGUUGGGGAUGGACUCGCGGCUUAUCAGCUUGUUGGUGGGGUAGUGGCUUACCAAGGCUUUGACGGGUAGCCGGCCUGAGAGGGUGACCGGCCAAAUUGGGAUGGGGAAACGGCCCAGGCCCCGACGGGGGGCAGGGGGGGGGAAUAUUGCACAAGGGGGGGAAGCCUGAUGCAGCAACGCCGGGGGGGGGAGGAGGGCCUUGGGGUUGUAAACCGCUUUCGCCGGUGACGAAGCGGGGGUGACGGUAAUGGGGAAAGAAGCACCGGCUAACUACGU